UACGUAGGGUGCAAGCGUUGUCCGGAAUUAUUGGGCGUAAAGAGCUCGUAGGCGGUCUGUCGCGUCGGCUGUGAAAACCCGGAGCUCAACUCCGGGCCUGCAGUCGAUACGGGCAGACUGGAGUUCGGCAGGGGAGACUGGAAUUCCUGGUGUAGCGGUGAAAUGCGCAGAUAGUCAGGAGGAACACCGGUAGGCGAAGGCGGGUCUCUGGGCCGAUGACUGACGCUGGACGGAGCGAAAGCGUGGGGGAGCGAACAGG
rnacentral:rRNA from 1 species